rnacentral:piRNA from 1 species
AAUGUGGAAGCUAAGCAUGUUAAGGAU